rnacentral:rRNA from 1 species
ACUGAAUAGAUACCCUGGUAGUCCACGCUGUAAACGAUGUUCACUCGCUGUUUGCGAUACACAGUAAAGCGGCUGAGCGAAAGCAUUAAGUGAACCACCUGGGGAGUACGAUCGCAAGGUUGAAACUCAAAGGGAAUUGACGGGGGCCCGCACAAGCGGAGGAACAUGUGGUUUAAUUCGAUGAUACGCGAGGAACCUUACCUGGGCUUAAAUGUAGAUUGCAUUUUUCGGGAAACCGGAAUUCCCUUCGGGGCUAUUUACAAGGUGCUGCAUGGUUGUCGUCAGCUCGUGCCGUGAGGUGUCGGGUUAAGUCCCAUAACGAGCGCAACCCCUAUCGUUAGUUGCCAGCGGAUAAUGCCGGGGACUCUAGCGAGACUGCCACCGUAAGGUGAGAGGAAGGUGGGGAUGACGUCAAAUCAGCACGGCCCUUAUGUCCAGGGCUACACACGUGUUACAAUGGCCGAUACAAAGGGCAGCUACCAGGUGACUGGAUGCUAAUCUCUAAAGUCGGUCCCAGUUCGGAUUGGAGUCUGCAACCCGACUCC